AAAAUGGAUACAAUUCAAUGGAUAUCAAUCAACAAAGAGGUAUACAGACAAGGAGGCAUACAAAGGUAUGUCAAUUGCUAUUGGGGAUACCUAGUCAGUUGUACAAGGUGUGGGGGGCUGCCAUAAUCAACAUCAACAUCUUCGGCACCGGGGAAAAGUGGGUUAACUUUUAUUUUUUAUCUUGUCAGCUCCUGGAUUCAAUCCAGAUUCUUUGCGGUUACCGGCCCAACGCUCUAACCACUAGACUACCUGUAUGUUAUGCAGAUCCCAUUUACCAUCCUCCUCCCUUACCCCUUCAAUGGUUUACCAUAGGCAUUAUGGACAAGGUAUGUGUAUGUGUAUGAAAACCAUUAUCAAAACCAUGGUAUGAAUUCUGUUGUGUGAAUGUUUUGUUAAUCAUCUGUAAUUACUGUUUUUGGGAUUCACAGACUUCUCCCUUCCUACACCUGGUGAUCAGGAAACCUGUUCGAUUCACCAUGCACUGCAAAAUCAUUUUGGCAUGGAUACGGAGAACAUCAACACAUCACUGGAUAAGGUAUAUCCUCUGUUCUCCGUAUCCAUGCCAAAAUGAUUUUGCAGGCCAGAGGAUAUACCCAUUGGACUUGGGGCUGCUUUACACUAAAAUCGUAAUAAACACUGAGAACUAAAAUAGUGUGUUAUUGUUGUUAUUGUUAUGCGAAAAAUAAUAGGGGAGGGGGGGUAGUUCAAAUAUUUACCCCAAACGUUUCUUCGAGGAUCUUUAAAGAACCCUUUUAAAGGGUUAUUUGAUUAACUUAUUGGGGUUCCCUCACAGUUUCAAUUUGAAGAACCACUAAAGGAUACUCCAGGAACCUUUUCUUUUUAGAGUGUAUGGUAGACCCAAGUCAGUGAGGUUGACCUAUUUCUGCUCUGUUUCUGUACACUCAACUUCACCCAGGUGGUACACUUUUGCUACUAGCAACAAUACUGAAUGGAGAUUUUGAAGAGUCCACAUUCUCGGGUAGGUAAUUAGAGCCUAUUGAGCCUCCAACCUUUGUAAUCUUGGACACCCAGCGCAUCUGUCAACAACAGAUUGUGACCUUGUGACAGUUAUUCGUUGAGAACAAAAUAAACACUAAAUUGGUGAUUUUUUUGUAACACACAUGGUAACAACAAUUUGUCUGUAAUUACAGACUGCAAUUACCACCAGGCACAUGUUGUUAUUACAGUGAAACUAUGAAAUUAUGGAACUACAAUGAACUAUUAUACUUGUUAGUGUAAUUACACAUGUAAUUACAAUGUAAUAAUGACCCUUUAAAAUGAAGUGUCACCGGGAAGGGUAAGACAAAGGUGAGGCUUCUACAGCCAUAGGAAAACUGUUAAAUGUGUGUUGUAUCGGUAUCUAGGCGACAGAUUCAACUUGAACAACCUGAGUUUUCCCAACACAGGAGAGGAGGUGCCAAAGUUUAUAUCUGCAUUUGUGUACAAAUUUAGUUAUUAACAUAACCUUGUUCAAUGUUCUCUACCAAUAAAAAUAGCUUACAACAUUCAACUGUAUUAUCAAUUAUCUCAGAAUCAUAUUUUUGCAUAUAGAUCCUUG
rnacentral:lncRNA from 13 species